rnacentral:lncRNA from 1 species
GCAAAGUCUCUUCCCUGCAUGCCUUGACAGAGCCAGGGUGUGACAGCGUGGAACGCGGGGCUGCCCAGAACCGAGGCUCAGCUCCCGGCCCCAGACUGCAACUUCUGCAGCUGAGUCGGCAUGAAGAGGAAUAAGCUGGGAACCACCUUCUGACCCACUUCCCAGUUCUUCUCUUCUUUACGUCGGGUCGAAACUUCGUUCGCUCUUCUGGCCUUUCAUUCAUCUACCACGUCUGUUCUUCUGGCUCCUGGAUCCGACUCUCUGGAUUCCAACCUGGAAGAGGCCCUUUAAGACCUCAGGGAAUUUGGACACAUUACAUAACCUCUCUUAGCCUGGCGUUGCUCAUCAGCUACAGGAGGAUCAUAGCCCGCCUACCCACGGGGUUGUCAGGAGGAUUUAUUGUGCCGAUGUCCACAAAAGCUCUUUAACGGGAGGUUGGCCAGUUUGUAGUAGCUCAUCAGCAAACGAUGGCUAUUAACCUGUUCCUUUGUGAAUCAGGCUUCUUCUGAAUGGUUGUUUGUGCACCUGCACGUACACAACCACUCAUCAUCCUUUGUCAGGCAGGGAGAGAAACUUUGGGUCCAGGGGGAUUGAGCAUGAUUAAUCGGAUUCAGGGAAUCUUAAACUAAGAGGGGUGGCUCCUAACUGAGAGGCAGAGUUAGAAACUAGUGGUUUUCUCAAUUUCAGCAGCGUGACUGAUAUUUGGGGCUCCGUAGUUCUCUGUGCAGGAGGGCUGUCUUGUGUAGGAGGUUUAGCAGUAUCCCUGGUUUCCACCCAUUAACUGCCAGGAGCAACCCCAAAGUGUCUCCAGAGCUUUUGAAACGGCUCCUGGGGACAAAAGCAUCCCUGGUUGAGAGCCACCUGACUAGACCGGAGACGUUAAUCCUAGAGCUCAAGUGGGAAGGCAUAAGAAGUGACUUAUGAAAAGAGAAGGGACAGAAAGUCCAAGACAAGUG